GCAGCUCAGUGGUAGAGAAUGCUGAAGGUUCUAGGUUCAAUCCCUGGCAUCUCCA
rnacentral:tRNA from 1 species